rnacentral:rRNA from 1 species
CGCAUCUGUGCAUGCAGCAUAUCAAUAAGCGGAGGAAAAGAAACUAACAAGGAUUCCCUUAGUAACGGCGAGUGAAGCGGGAAGAGCUCAAAUUUGAAAUCUUCAAGGUUUUACCUUGACGAAUUGUAGUUUAAAGGAGUGUUUUCUGUUGAAGUUUUGGUAAAAGUUCUUUGGAAUAGGACAUCAUAGAGGGUGAGAAUCCCGUAUUUGACCAUUAUUUUCAGCUGUGUGAUACACUUUCAAAGAGUCGGAUUGUUUGGGAAUGCAGUCCAAAAUGGGUGGUAAAUUUCAUCUAAAGCUAAAUAUUGGCGAGAGACCGAUAGCGAACAGGUACCGUGAGGGAAAGAUGAAAAGAACUUUGAAAAGAGAGUUAAACAGUACGUGAAAUUGUCAAAAGGGAAGCGUUUGACACCAGUGUUGUUUUCUCGAAAAUCGAUUAAAAAGAGUUUGAUUUUGUUGUGUAUUGACCUUAACAGCUUGCAUUUCAAUUUUCUUGCUUUUUUUAAUGCACUUUUCGUUUAACAAGUCAACAUCAGUUUCUUUUGUUGUAAAAAGGUCAUUGGAAGGUGGCUUUCUUUUCGGAGAAAGUGUUUAUAGCCUUUGACUCCUGCAAUCGGAGAGACUGAGGUCUGCAGCGUAGAUCCUUCGGGGUUAGAUACAUUUGUGCUAAGUUAUAGCUUUUUAUAGACAACUUGUUGACUAUGAUUAGUCUUGUAGCUUACUCGCUUAUGCUAUUUUACCUACGCUUAGGAUGUUGACGCGCGUGUGUGCGUG